rnacentral:rRNA from 1 species
GACGAACGCUGGCGGCGUGCUUAACACAUGCAAGUCGAGCGGUAAGGCCCUUUCGGGGGUACACGAGCGGCGAACGGGUGAGUAACACGUGGGUGGCCUGCCCUCAGCUCUGGGAUAAGCCUGGGAAACCGGGUCUAAUACUGGAUAUGACUCCAUGACGCAUGUUGUGGGGUGGAAAGCCUUGUGCGGCUGAGGAUGGGCCCGCGGCCUAUCAGCUUGUUGGUGGGGUGANGGCCUACCAAGGCGACGACGGGUAGCCGGCCUGAGAGGGCGACCGGCCACACUGGGACUGAGACACGGCCCAGACUCCUACGGGAGGCAGCAGUGGGGAAUCUUGCGCAAUGGGCGAAAGCCUGACGCAGCGACGCCGCGUGAGGGAUGACGGCCU